GAUGAACGCUAGCGGCAGGCCUAACACAUGCAAGUCGAGGGGCAGCAUAAAAUAAACUUGUUUAUUUGGUGGCGACCGGCGCACGGGUGCGUAACGCGUAUGCAACCUACCUUACACAGGGGGAUAGCCCGGAGAAAUUCGGCUCAAUACCCCAUAGCACUAUCGGAGGGCAUCAUUUGAUCUUUAAAGCUUUGGCGGUGUAAGAUGGGAAUGCGUCCUAUUAGCUGGUUGGUGAGGUAACGGCUAACCAAGGCUACGAUAGGUAGGGGGCAUGAGAGAGUGGUCCCCCACACUGGUACUGAGACACGGACCAGACUCCUACGGGGGGCAGCAGUGAGGAAUAUUGGUCAAUGGGCGCAAGCCUGAACCAGCCAUGCCGCGUGAAGGAUGAAGGUUCUAUGGAUUGUAAACUUCUUUUAUUUGGGAAUAAACCCCUUUACGUGUAGAGGGCUGAAGGUACCAAAUGAAUAAGCACCAGCUAACUCCGUGCCAGCAGCCGCAGUAAUAC
rnacentral:rRNA from 1 species